GGAUUAUUUAUAUUAAUGUUCUCAAAAGGAGAAUUAAGUGAAACAGACUAAACAUCCUUGUCUUAUAGGAUGAAGAAUGACUGAAAGUACGAGUAUCGUUCUCUUCUAAAUCAUAACUACUGGCAGCUGUAACAGUGUUAUAUUCUGCAGUUGUUAUAUUAAGUAUAUUAUUAUUUCCAAAGGUAGAUUGGAAAUCUUCUACUUCAGAAUGUGUAGAUAAUGUCGCCUUACUCUCAGAGGUAAAUGAAAAUGCAGUUCUGUUAGACAGGAUCUUUUCUUCAGAGGCUUCUAUGUUAGAAAGUGAAUUUGAGGAUAUCUGAAUGCAAAUAUCUUCUGAAAUGCAAGCAUGGAGGUAAUGGAUGUCAUUUAUAUCAGCUCUAGGUUCACAGCUGUGCCCUGCAUAACAAUGGCAAUCAAAUUUUUCUAUGAAUGUUUGCAGAUCCUGAUAUGAUGGCUGCCCUUGUAAAGUGUAUUUUCCAUCCUUUGUCAUUUGAAUUGCAAUAUUCUCAGGGUUCAAGUGAAGAUAGUCACUGGAAUUCCAUUUUUUCCGUGCACAAGCACCAGAGUCUUGGCAUAGCACUUGGCUACAUAUUCUGGCUGCCAUUGUGACGUUGAUGAGGUAUGGGGUCAAAGUCCUCCUAAGGUAGUUGUCCAGAGUUCUACAGGUGUUCUGUGAAAAGAGCAUUAUACCUCCACAGUUUAGUAUGGAAACCAUUACAAUGCUGUCAUUCUAAUAACAGUACCACAGUACAUAUCUAUAAAAGUUUCCUCUGAGGAUUUGAUAACAACUAUAAGUUGUUGUUAGAAGCAAGUUUAUCUGAGAAGCUGUUAUAAAAUUUGAGGAUCUUAGCAAAUUUGUGUUGUGUAGUUGCUGGAGAUGUUACAAAAAGCAGUUAGAUCAGAAAUCAAUUGUCUUUAAGCUUUCAUUUAAUCUCGAUAUUUCAUGUAGCUUUUUGAAUCAGAUGUAUUUAAAGAAGUUUCAUGAAGACUUGAAGUUCCUUUUUAAGUCUUAAAUAGUUUGAAUGCAUCUGGGAAAAAAACUCAUGCUUCUUCAGUCUAAACAAAUGCUCUUCCUAUCAAGUAGUCUCUGAGACUUUUCAGCUUUCCCCUGACCUAAACAGCUUGGCUACAGGGUAGGGACCUUUCAUGGCAUUUUUAAAUGAAAAGAAUUGUGGUUGGAUGGUCAAAUUGAAGGUAUGCUAAGACAAUUGAUCAUUCUAACUGAUCAUGAAAUGUUACAUGGCAUAUGUUCUGUGCAUUCUUGGCACAGUUUAAUAACCAGAAGGUAUGGAACUCUCUCUUUGUUUCUGACAUUAUGGACAUUUGGCCAAUACCACGUGUAGAUACACCUAAUAUUCGUACCUAUGGAGAUCACUUUGGUGAAUCUAAGAUGUAUGUAGGUUUUUUUGGUUUUCUUUUAGGUAUAUAUAAAAAUUAUAUCUACUUAAUAUAUACAAUUUCUAUAUUAUAUAUAGAAAUUUUGGUUGAUGGAGAAAUGAGGCUUACAGUAAUAUUUAAUUGCUGAAAUGCUAGUGACUGUGAAAGCUGUAAAAAAUCAGGUGCAAUUAGUGCACAAAUACAUAGUCUGACUGGGCUGGUGAGUUCUUUUUUUCUCACAGGAAUCUCAAAAUUAAGACAAUAAAAUUUGCUGCUCAUCUAUGUUCUGAUAUUGAGAUAAUAGGCAGAAAAGUUCCAGGUGCAACUGAUAUCCUUUCUCAAAGGCAGGCACAUACAAAAAAGUCAAGGUGGGAUGCUUUGGGGAAUAACAACCUUACAGAGCUGUGGAGCUGUAUUUGGCCAUGCUUUCUGUGACACGAGAUCUGGCAGAGAUGACGCAUUUUGGUUCAUUGCACUCAGAAGACUUCACAAGAGUCUUCCAUAAUAGCUUAAAUCUAACUUGCCUGGUUAUGAAUUAACUACCUGGAAAGAAUGAUGAGAACAUCCUUGUAACAGUUCUCAAACUAUGUAUUGCCCCUUCCUAAAACAAACUAGAGUUUUUUUCUUCUGACUCAGCUGUUUCAUACAAUGAAAUUAAUCAUAGUAUUUGCAAUACACAGAACAGGCUAGGGCUGAACUUUUACAGGCUGACUUCUCCCAUUGCUGCCAAGUUCACCACUCCAAAAAGCAGAAGGGUCUUCUAAAAAUUGUUCCAAGCAAGCCCACGUAAGUUUUUCUUUACCUCAUGACUAAAAUGAAAUGAAGAUAUAGGAAUUCUUUUGUAUACUAAUUGAACAAGUGCUAACCUGACUGUGGUUGUCAUAGUAACUUGUCCAGUUACCCAGAGUCACAGAACUGAGACAUUGAAGGAUUGAACUCUUGUUCUGUGUAGCCAGUGAUGACCUUAAUAAGCCUCAGAUAUGCUUGGGUUUUGACUACAAGAAGGUGCUGGCAAUAUGGAGUCAUCGUUUUAAAAGUAGAAGAUAUCACAAUUCCAGAAGCACCCAGCGCAGCAGAUUCUCCGAUGGUAUUUACCAGGUCAUCCUGAAAGAAAAUAGGCAAAGAAUCAUGCAAAUGUCUCCAGUUUUCCCAGUCAAUGACAGCCAAUCCAAGCUGUUCAUCUGAAGGAAUGUAGAACUGGAUGUCCUCUUUGGCUUUUUUUAAAUGAUUCUCCAGCAGUGAGAGUUGAGGGAGUCCUCCAUUGAAUGCCUCUCCUGUGACUUCAUUUUUGUAAGGGUAGUAGCCAAGCCUGUCUGGAUAGAAGAGAGUGAUGUUUUGCCCAAUGGAUGUCUUUAGUGUGCUUCCAAUUAGAGGAAAAAAAUUCAUGUCCAGCUGCACUCCAGUCCUUUCAGUACAAAGUUCUGUAGGAGCAUUCCAGAUAGAAAGGAAAGGUGAAUUAGAAACAAGUGGACGAGCUCUUAUGUUCAGAGAUGAGCAGCAAGAAACUAGAAGAGUGGCAAACACCACACCAGAUGCUACAGGAUAUGUACAGGUAACACAGAUGCCAAAACUUUGCAUUUGUCUUAGAGUUUCCAUUGUAGCAUGUGCAGUUACAUUAGGUGCUUCUGAUCAGACAAAAAUUAAAUGCUCUCUGGGUGUUCAGAAGGUUGGUAGUCUGUCAAAAACUUUAUUGUAAAAUAUAUUUCUUCAGAUUAAUACCUAUUAAAGCAAUAUUUCUUGGGUGUGAAAUAGGGGUGUCUUUUUUACAAGGCUCUGUGUCAUUUCAGGCUGCAGGAAACUUUUCAACAACUUCUCAGACCUAAUGCAGAAAAAGAAGCAAAUGUGAAGUAAGAAAUUAUAAAUAUUUAAUUUAUAACCUUGAAACAAGUACCAUUUCUGAUUUUGAAUAUAUUGUAAUGCUUGAAUACAUUUGCCCUUUGAAGGAAAAGACGUUUUACAACCAUAGAGAAAUAAACUGUACUAUUCCACUGUCAGUUUUAUGCCUAAAACUUAGAUUUAAAAAACCUAGAUUUAAAACAGGCAGUGGAACAGUAUUCAGUGGCUCAUAGAUCAGAGUGUGCUCAGUAGUACAGACUGUGUCAGUUACUGAUAUCUGUAAAAAUGAGCAAUUUCACAGUGACUUAUCUUAAUCAACAGCAAUGUAUAUAUAAUAUUUCUCACCUACAUAAAAAUAAAAUUCUGAUUCUUUGUUAAUUUUACAGAGCGCUUACAGGAAGAUACAGGAUAGUAUAAAACAAACAUGGGCUGUUUUACACUUGUAAAAAAGCAAUCGAUGGAUGCUCAUUUAACUCAAUGCAGUAUCUGAAAUAUUGUAGGCCCUCUAUCUUCUGUCCAAGCCUCUUUUAAACAGGUUCAAACACCUUUGUAUCACUUUGGUAUAUGGCUGGCUAUAUGUUAUUUCAGGCCAUUUGAGAUGUACAGAUCAGGUGGCUCCAAAUCAAAGUCUGACCAGGGGUGCAGUUCAUUAGGAAAGCUGAGGCUGUCCAUACGCCCACGGUGAGCAGUCACAUUUCGUGGUGAUGCCUCAGUACAGGCGUCAGCACUUACAGAGAAUCCCACUAGCUAAAGCAUUCUCUGUGAAGUAACUCCUAAAUAUACAUUCCUUCUGAUUUUGAAAUGGUUCAAAUCUGAAUCAGUCACUUUCUGUAGAAGCCUCGUGAUGAGGCAAUAGAGUAUGUAAGGAUUAUAUAGGAGUGUACACAAAAGUACAGGGGGUCACCAUGAAGUGGGCCAUGGAGUGGCUGGCAAUGUAAAAUCUCUUUAGGACAGAUUCAAGAAAAUAAAAAGGGAAAUAAUAUUUACAUUUGUAUUUAUUUAAUUCAUCCAGGAGUGAAAUCUACAAAUUUUUGUAUAGAAUCAGCAGA